rnacentral:rRNA from 1 species
AGCGAACGCUGGCGGCAGGCUUAACACAUGCAAGUCGAGCGGGCACUUCGGUGUCAGCGGCAGACGGGUGAGUAACACGUGGGAACGUACCCUUUGGUUCGGAAUAACGCUGGGAAACUAGCGCUAAUACCGGAUACGCCCUUUUGGGGAAAGGCUUGCUGCCGAAGGAUCGGCCCGCGUCUGAUUAGCUAGUUGGUGGGGUAAUGGCCUACCAAGGCGACGAUCAGUAGCUGGUCUGAGAGGAUGAUCAGCCACACUGGGACUGAGACACGGCCCAGACUCCUACGGGAGGCAGCAGUGGGGAAUAUUGGACGAUGGGCGCAAGCCUGAUCCAGCCAUGCCGCGUGAGUGAUGAAGGCCUUAGGGUUGUAAAGCUCUUUUGUCCGGGACGAUAAUGACGGUACCGGAAGAAUAAGCCCCGGCUAACUUCGUG